GGAAGCGUCGAGAGAAAGACGAGGGCUGUGAGGGACUGGACAGCAGCGGGGUAGCUGUAUGAAGAUCAAGCUGGACUUUGAAAGGAAGAAAUGAAAAUGACAAAAAAACAAGCAAGUUUAUUUGGAAUCUAAUACUAAGUUUAACAGAGAAAUGACUAUUUACAAGACAAAUGUAUCCAGACUGAAAAUAAAACGCGAACUACUGAAAUGCGAACCUUAUACAGCACUAAGGAUUCACAUCAUCUUACCUGGUCUUUCUUAAGAGGCUUCGGCAUCUGCUCGGUGGUUUUGGUCAUUUACUCAGAUUUUGCUUCCACGCAUCCCGCAUCACGUUUACACCGGAGCUUUUAUUGACGAGGCAUCACGGAGGCUCCGGUCCUUUCUGGAGAUAUAAUGGAGAAAUAAUGUCCAGCCGAAAUAUAUUUGUCGGCCACACCCAUGCAGUUCCCGAAGUUGGCCUCCAUCAAGCCACUCUAUACAUAACGAAAGGAACGGGGGUGGAUUGCUGUCUUUGGUUAUCUAGCUGUAUGAGUGUUAGUCAGCCAUCAUAAAGCUAGAUAACCGAAUGUAGGAAUUGCUCCCUAAUCUGCGCCUUAUUUAAAAUGAACAACUCUGACGGUUCAAGUAAAAAUCAGCGCAAGAAAACACCGCUCCAGGUGUGAUGCACAUCAGGCAGAGAGACCCCCCCCCCAGCUGGGUCACCGAGCUCAUCAUGGCAGCACAUGGAGACCCUCCAGGGGAAGCAGGCAGUGAACUGCAGCUCGGGGGUGUAACCAGCAGGCUUUAGGCAGCUGUGGAGCAGACAAACUGCGGAAUCACUAGCAUUACUUGUAUUUCGUGCACUUGAUGCACUGGUGCAUGCUGGUGUACUAUGAGGAUCAUCAAACACCUACACGCAUGUCAAAAGGAGAACAUCUCAAAAUUCUCACUUCUCUUACUUUGUGUAUUGAUUAGAAAAUUGAUCGUCUUCUGGAAUGGUAUAAUGGAGACCACCUCUUUGAUGUGAAAAUGUUUGGAAUAUUUUGUAUUAGUACAAAAAUGUUUUUGUACGUUAUGUUUUCAUUUCAGGAGAAAAA